rnacentral:rRNA from 1 species
UACGUAGGGGGCAAGCGUUGUCCGGAAUCAUUGGGCGUAAAGCGCGCGUAGGCGGCCCGGUAAGUCCGUUGUGAAAGUCAAAGGCUCAACCUUUGAACGCCGAUGGAUACUGCCGGGCUAGAGUCCGGAAGAGGCGAGUGGAAUUCCUGGUGUAGCGGUGGAAUGCGCAGAUAUCAGGAGGAACACCGGUGGCGAAGGCGGGUCUCUGGGCCGAUACUGACGCUGAGGAGCGAAAGCGUGGGGAGCAAACAGG